rnacentral:rRNA from 1 species
UAUAAUGCAGUCGAGCGACUGAUUAGAAGCUUGCUUCUAUGACGUUAGCGGCGGACGGGUGAGUAACACGUGGGCAACCUGCCUGUAAGACUGGGAUAACUUCGGGAAACCGAAGCUAAUACCGGAUAGGAUCUUCUCCUUCAUGGGAGAUGAUUGAAAGAUGGUUUCGGCUAUCACUUACAGAUGGGCCCGCGGUGCAUUAGCUAGUUGGUGAGGUAACGGCUCACCAAGGCAACGAUGCAUAGCCGACCUGAGAGGGUGAUCGGCCACACUGGGACUGAGACACGGCCCAGACUCCUACGGGAGGCAGCAGUAGGGAAUCUUCCGCAAUGGACGAAAGUCUGACGGAGCAACGCCGCGUGAGUGAUGAAGGCUUUCGGGUCGUAAAACUCUGUUGUUAGGGAAGAACAAGUACGAGAGUAACUGCUCGUACCUUGACGGUACCUAACCAGAAAGCCACGGCUAACUACGUGCCAGCAGCCGCGGUAAUACGUAGGUGGCAAGCGUUAUCCGGAAUUAUUGGGCGUAAAGCGCGCGCAGGCGGUUUCUUAAGUCUGAUGUGAAAGCCCACGGCUCAACCGUGGA